AUACGGAGGGCGCAAGCGUUAUUCGGAAUCACUGGGCGUAAAGGACGCGUAGGCGGGCUGGCAAGUCAGAUGUGAAAUCCUACAGCUUAACUGUAGAACUGCAUUUGAAACUGCUAACCUAGAGUAUGGGAGGGGGAGAUGGAAUUAGUGGUGUAGGGGUAAAAUCCGUAGAUAUCACUAGGAAUACCGAAAGCGAAGGCGAUCUCCUGGAACAUAACUGACGCUAAGGCGUGAAAGCGUGGGGAGCAAACAGGAUUAGAAACCCUUGUAGUCC
rnacentral:rRNA from 1 species